AAUAAAAGUAAUAGUAAGAUUAAUUAAAAACCAAUUGUUCAGAGAACAAUUGAAAGUCUUUCCACACCAAAGAAAUUUUGAUGAGAUAGUUUCUUCAUACUGAUGCGAUAAAUAAUGGUUUAAUUAUAUUAAUGAGUGAUGUAAGGGAGAUAAUAAGCUACUUCCGGUGAAAUGAAUAUCACUUCCGGUCUCAUAUGAUAGCUUCUUUGACACUGAUUCCAAAAAUAUAUAGUUUCUAUAUACUUUUAUAUGUAGAAUGGCAGAUAAUUGGCCACUUCCGGUUUGUUGGAAGUGAUUUUUAGUCUUCAGUAAUCAGUUUAUGUAUCUAUAUGACAAAAUAUAUGGAUUCUGAGUACUUUUAUAUGAAAAAAUUGCAAAAAAGGCUACUUCCGGUUUUCUCAAGGUCACUUCCGGUAGUCAUUUUUCAAGGUCAUUUGUCACCUAAUCUUUUGUACAAGGUCAAAUGCCUUUAUAAUAAACUUAGUUGAAGUCAUAAUCAAAUAACCUCAUAUUAAGACAUUUGAGGGGCAACAACUCCUAUAAGAUGCCAUUAAAUUGUAUAAGACGAAAUGUAGCAUAUCUUCAUUACAAUAAAGCUGACAUUUUGCACUUGUUCUUUAGUAUGUAUCUUUCAAGGUGUCUGAGAAAAUACAGAAACAAGCAAAAGUCACAAUUGAGAACUUGACCUUGACCUUUGACCUUGACUUCAUUUUCUAAGUUAGGAUUUAGGGGACUCAAAUAAAAACAUUCCAGGGUUAUACUGUUAACUGUUUCUGAGUUAAAUAAACAUACCGACAAAUUUAUUUUGUAAAGGUAGAUAACUCCUAUAAAAUUUCAUCGAAUCGCUGCGAUCCAAAUUAGCCAAAAAUUCCUGAGGAUGUAACGAACAAUUUGUAAAAAGAAUUUUGUCGCUAUCUUUUUUUGUUACGAAGGAGAUGCACACAGAGGGUAAACAGUGAAAAGGGAGAUAACUCUUACAUAGAAAAUGAAUCGGCUUAGCAGGGUGAAAUUUAAAAGCGCAUAAACUAUACGAUACCAUAUGGGAAAUAUCUAAGCGACAUAUUGCGAAACAAACAUUUUGCGCAAGAACAAAAUUUGGCAGAAGAAAAAAAUAAUAAUAAUUAAAAACCAAUUGUUCAGAGAACAAUUGAAAGUCUUUCCACAACAAAGAAAUUUGGAUAAGAAGAUAGUUUCUUCAUACUGAUGCGAUUAAUAAUGGUUUAAUUAUGUUUUUGAGUGAUAUAAGGGAGAUAAUAUGCUACUUCCGGUGAAAUGAAUGUCACUUCUGGUCUCAUAUGAUAGCUUUUUUCACACUGAUUCCAAAAAUAUAUAGUUUCUAUAUACUUUUGUAUGUAUUGGGAGAUAAUUUGCCACUUCCGGUUUGUUGGAAGACAUUUUUAGUCGUCGGUAAUCAGUUUAUCUAUCUAUAUGACUAAAUAUAUGAAUUCUAAGUACUUUUUAUAUGAGAAAAUUGCAAAAAAAGCUACUUCCGGUUUUCCCAAGGUCACUUCCGGUAGUCAUUUUUCAAGGUCAUUUGUUACCUAACCUUUUGUUAAAGGUCAAAUGCCUUUAUAAUGAACUUAGUUGAAGUUAUAAUCAAAUAACCUCAUAUCAAGACAUUUCAGGGGCACCAACUCCUAUAAGAUGCCAUUAAAUUGUAUAAGACUAAAUGUAUCAUAUCUUCAUUACAAUAAAGCAGACAUUUUGCACUUGUUCUUUUAUAUGUAUCUUUCAAAGUGUUGGAGAAAAUGCCAAAACAAGCAAAAGUCACAAUUGAGAACUUGACCUUGACCUUUGACCUUGACCUCAUUUUCUUAGUUCGGACCUAGGAGUCGCAAAUAAAAACAUUCCAGGGUUAUACGGUUAACUGUUUAUGAGUUAUAAAAACAAACCGACAAAUUUAUUUUGUAAAGGUAGAUAACUCCUAUAAAAGUUCAUCGAAUUGCUUCGAUCCAAAUUAGCCAAAAUUUACUGAGGAUGUAACGAACAAUUUGUAAAAAGAAUUCUGUCGAUAUCUUUUUUUGUUACGAAGGAGAUGCACACAGAUGAUAAACAGUGAAUAGGGACAUAACUCUUACAAAGAAAAUUGUUCGUCUUAGCAGGGUGAGAUUUAAAACCGUAUAAACUAUACGAUACAAUAUACAAAAUAUCUAAGCGACAUAUUGCGAAACAAAAAUUUCAGAAUGUGGCGGAAAAAAAAAAUAAUAAUAAUUAAAAACCAAUUGUUCAGAGAACAAUUGAAAGUCUUUCCACACCACAGAAAUUAAGAUAAGAAGGUAGUUUCUUCAUACUGAUGCGAUAAAUAAUGGUUUAAUUAUCUUUUUGAGUGAUAUAAGGGAGAUAAUAUGCUACUUCCGGUGAAAUGAAUGUCACAUCUGUCUCAUAUGAUAGCUUCUUUCACACUGAUUGCAAAAAUAUAUAGUUUCUAUAUACUUUUGUAUGUAGAAUGGGAGAUAAUUGGCCACUUCCGGUUUGUUGGAAGUCAUUUUUAGUCUUCCGUAAUUUGUUCAUGUAUCUAUAUGAAAAAAAUAUAUGGAUUCUGAGUACUUUUAUGUGAAAAAAUUGCAAAAAAAGCUACUUCCGGUUUUUUCUCAAGGUCACUUCCGGUAGCCAUUUUCAAGGUCAUUUGUCACUUAACCUUUUGUAUCAGGUCAAAUGUCUUUAUAAUGAACUUACUUGAAGUUAUAAUCAAAUAACCUCAUAUCAAGACAUUUAGGGG
rnacentral:lncRNA from 1 species